UGUCAACUUUCGUAUAUUUCUGAGUAAUCUGACGUUCUAACUUCUAGUCUAUAUGCUAGUACGGCUUAGCCUUAGACAGUUAGACUUUUUGACCUGAAGCCCACACAAUGUUGGAAUUUGCACGUAUUUUUUAUUUAUCUUUAAUUUAAUCAAGUCAAAGAUAACAGCAAAGUUUGGCAACUACCGGCUUGAUAUGAUGCUGUGGUCAUUGAUGAAUGAUUGGACUAUAAUCUAUUGCCACUUAAUUAUUUAUAAGUGAUUAUAGCCUAUGAAAAGAGUCGUUUCUUAAUCAACUUGGUCAUUUACUGUCUUGACGCACUUGAACUCGGUUGUACACAAUGCUUAGUGCUGUUCAUAAUAUCGGGAGUUAUAUCAAAAUGAUGGAUCAUGGUUUGAUCACUAUAUCUUUGUAAGUAUAUAUAGAAAAUCAUUUGCGCAAUGCGCACAUCGGAUUAUUUGCGCUCACACGUCGCUGUGUUGUAUAGAGGAUUUUUAUAAAUAGAAUUCCAGACAGGAUUUAGACGUUUAAAAAUUUACAAGCCACAGAAUAGAAAACUGUUUUGCUUAAACCGUGAUUAAAACUUGUUCGAUUUUAGUAAAUCAAUCAUAUAUGUCAGUAUAGGAAGUAAUGUUAUGUAAGAAGAUAUUUUAAAAGAAAAAGGCUUGAUGCUGCAUGUCGAUACAUAUUUAACAUUAAGCUUCUGCUAACGAGAAGAUUAGGGAAACUUCCAAUAACUGUAAAUUGUAUUACUUAUCAACUUUAUACAGUAUUAUUUGUGAUUCUAAACUAUAAAUUUCGAUUUUUUGUUCAGAUCGCUGGUAUUCUUUAACUUUGUCUUGACAACGUCUGGCAGUCCUUCGAUGACAGGUAAGAUUAAUCUUAUCCUAGCUGUAUCUUAUCUUUAUUUACAAUUUCAAAAUAUUCAAUGACAAUGUUUACACCGAUUUUUCUAUCGCAUAUCAU